UAGUGGUGGCGACGGCGGUUGUGGUGGUAAGGUUAUACGAAGAGGAAGAAAAGGAAGAGAAAUAAAAGGAAAAGCCAGAGGAGGAGAAAGAAAAAUAGAAGAAGGCGCGAGAGAAGGAGAUGAGGAGGAGAAGGAGGAAAGCGCUAUAGAAGAAAGAAGAGCACCUCCCGCCUCGCGCCUUCCUUCCUCCCGUCUCCCGGAGUGUACACACCUGCACUCUUGAGGCUGCUGGCGAGAAGAACUGUGUCCCAAGCCCUCCACCAUGGCCGCCGCUCCGAAAGUUUGCGUCCGUCGCGCGAAGCUCAUCUUCCUGAUGGAGAACGCAGGCAAGGACGUCUUGACCUUCGUGUUGAAGCGCGGCGCGCUGAACGCCCCCGCCACGCCGCCAGGCCAGUCCCUCAUUGACUACCUUGACAACCUCCCUCAAGGCUCGACAGCCAACUAUGGCAGGAUGAGUAACAAACAAAAGAAAGCAGCAGUGAACCACAGUUCAGUGCUGCUUAUCCUCUGACGUGACUACUUUAUUCAUUAUUUUUUGUAUCAUCAGCGAACUUAGAUACUUUACAGGUGAGGUCCUCAUCGAUAUCAUUAACGUAAAUAAGGAAAAGAACAGGGCCGAGCACAGAUCCCUGUGGUACACCACUUAAAACUUCUCG